UACAGAGGGUGCGAGCGUUGUCCGGAAUCACUGGGCGUAAAGGGCGCGUAGGCGGGCGAUCAAGCGUGCGGUGAAAGCUCGGGGCUCAACUCCGAGUCGGCCGUGCGAACUGGUUGUCUAGAGUCUGGUAGAGGUCGAUGGAAUUCCGGGUGGUAGCGGUGGAAUGCGUAGAGAUCCGGAAGAACACCGGUGGCGAAGGCGGUCGACUGGGCCAGUACUGACGCUGAUGCGCGACAGCGUGGGGAGCAAACAGG
rnacentral:rRNA from 1 species